rnacentral:rRNA from 1 species
GAUGAACGCUGGCGGCGUGCCUAAUACAUGCAAGUCGAGCGAACAGACGAGGAGCUUGCUCCUCUGACGUUAGCGGCGGACGGGUGAGUAACACGUGGAUAACCUACCUAUAAGACUGGGAUAACUUCGGGAAACCGGAGCUAAUACCGGAUAAUAUAUUGAACCGCAUGGUUCAAUAGUGAAAUACGGUUUUGCUGUCACUUAUAGAUGGAUCCGCGCCGCAUUAGCUAGUUGGUAAGGUAACGGCUUACCAAGGCAACGAUGCGUAGCCGACCUGAGAGGGUGAUAGGCCACACUGGAACGGAGACACGGUCCAGACGCCUAAGGGAGGCAGCAGUAGGGAAUGUGACGCAAUGGGCGAAAGCCUGACGGAGCAACGCCGCGUGAAUGAUGAAGGUCUUCGGAUCGUAAAACUCUGUUAUGAGGGAAGAACAAAUGUGUAAGGAAAUAUGCACGUCGUGACGGUACCUAAUCAGAAAGCCACGGCUAACUACGUG